rnacentral:lncRNA from 1 species
GGGGUUGGGGUUUGGCUGCGGCUUGGAUGGUCCUGGCCGUGGUUUAGGCUCCGGCUUUGCAGGAGUGGGUUUUGGGUUUGGCUGGGGUUUUGGCUGAGGUUGUGGCUUGACUUCUGGGUCCGGCUUUGCUGGGUUUGUCCUAGGGUUGGGCUGCGGGUCGGGCUUUGGGUUCGUCCUGUCGGAACCAAUGUCGUCUAGUGAAUACACCGGCAAUGACCCUGGCUGAGGUUUAGGAUUUGGCUUUUCAGGAGUUGGCUUUGGGUCCGGUUGAGGCAUUGGCUUUGGUUGUGGCUUGGCAUCUGGGUCCGGAAUUGGGUUGGGUUCCGGCUUUGCACGAGUCAUGGGCUUUGGGUUUGGGUUCGGGUUCGGGUGCGGCAUUUUAGGGUUGGGUUGGGGCAUCGGUUUUGGAGUGGGUUUCGGGGAAGGCUUGGGGUCGAUGAGCCUCCCUCCAUCGGCGAGGCUAGGAUCAUCCGCCGUGACCAUGGCAAGGAGGAGAAGCAAGGCCAGGUGAAAGCACAGCGAAG